rnacentral:lncRNA from 1 species
CGGAGAUUAGCGCCCCUCCCCUCCCAGGGGAGGACAGACUGACAGGAAACCAGAGACGAGGCUGGGUAUUGGCGGGAGGGGGGCUGAAGAGACCAUCUCACACACCCUGGGCAGGUGGCUUCCGGGACCCCGGGCCUGCCCUUCCCCCAUGGCACCAGCUCCAGGGGAUGAUUCAAGUGUCUGAGACUGACUCAGGGCACAGAGUGACUCCAGGAGGCAAGGACUCCCUCUCAAGACCUUCACCCAGCGAUGACUCCCAGCUCUGCUGGGUCUCAAACCAGAAGAAACAGAACAAGGCCAGAGACACAAUCAAGGAUGAGGAAGGGGCCAGGCCUGGGAUGAGGAUGCAGAGACAAUAAGAACCACCCAGGAAGUCCCCAAGAGCCAGGGGCCCCAGGGAUAUUGGAGGAGGAAGUAGCAAGCCCUGUGUUCCAAGACCAGCCCAGCCACUAGACAACCCAUGGACUUCCCCAGCUGGCUCAAGGGCAGAGCACCCAUAGCUCAGAGAAGGAUUCCUCACAUCCCAGCGACUCCUGGAAAAGUGGAAGGUGAAGGGUGGAAAGAACAGAGCGCUCUGUGAGGACGGCCCUGUGAGCUCUUCUGGGCUGUUUCUUCAUUCACCUCCACGGAGCUGGGGGGAAGGGCAGCAGCUGAGGCAUCUAGAGAACUUUAUAUAACACAUUCAAUCUGAGUCUCAUUUGAUCAUCAUGCUGACCCAGUGAUGUAAACGAUGGUGUCCCCAUCUCAGAGAUGAGGAACCGGAAACUCGCGAGGUUAAGUUUCACCUUCCUGAAAAUCGGCCAACAGUCUGCAUUUCGUUUCUGUCCCCCUAAGAGACACUAUUCAAAGUGCUCCCAAAAGGACCAGGCCUGGCAGACUUCAGAGGGGAUACUCAACAGAUGGUGGAGAUGCAGGCUCACAAACCCAGAGAAGCGGGUUGGAAAAAGCAGUGGGGGGAACUCAAGGCAGACUUCCUGCCUCCAGGCUUGUGGGUGAGGGGGCAGAGGGGUCUAACAGGUGACCAAGUGGUCUGCAGAAUCUCUCCCACAGCGAAUGGCCACCCAGCCCCUUCCCUCAGAGCCUAGUAGGCAGUCAGGUGGGGGAGGGCUGGCCACGCAGGCCAGGGUCCCCCAGCAGCCACAGCAGAAGCAGCAGCAGCAGCAGCUCACAGCACUGGAGCCGUUAAAAAGUGACUCAACCAGAAAGUGCUUUUGAAGCGACGCCCGCCAGGGCCCCAGAGCCAAAC